rnacentral:lncRNA from 1 species
GUAGGAAGCAAUGUUGAUGAGUGAAACCAGAGUAUUUAUUGAUUACAGUCAUUGUUAAGUAGUGGUUGCAUCAAGUCUAUGGAAUGGGUUUCAACUUGUCCAUUGAAUUUGUCCAGAUGAUUGUCCUUUCCUCACGUCGGAGUAUUCUUCGAUGUCCCGAUCACUGACUAUUCCAAGGUUUUCGAUCCAUAAAAAUAACCUUGGGGCAACGAAUUUCAAGAGAAGUGGUCCAGCUAAGAAUUAGCCGGAUUAACCAAGACAUCAGACCAGGCAUAACAUGAACUAGAAGACUGUUUGAUAAAUUGACAGCUUUUUUUUGGGUGUUAAGGUGUUCCAAGCAACCUGAAAUAGUUAGGCUGAGAGGUUUUUCUUGUACAAUCAUCAACAAUGGCAGUUUAGUGCAUGUUUAGUGCAAAUAUCAGACUAGAAUAACAAUCUAAUUGGUGUUUUAGGAAGUUUAUUUCUCCUCUAAGGUAUCCAUUUUGUGUGGGAAGCACCUAGAUGCUUAGUUUUUAUGAAGUUCAGCAUAAAUUACUUUACCAAGCUUGUUCUAAUUCUGGUCAUAGAGGUUGUUGACAAAACAACUUUAAGAAUCUAGAUUUUGACAGAUGACCACCUUUUGGAUUGUCUAAGAAGCAAUGUCACAGUUUUACAUGAGUUAAUUACAAGGUUUGUUCGUCCACGGAGCAUGCCUCAUUUGACCAAGUCAGGGUUUCAGCUUAGCAAUAAGAACAUCCAAGUCUUGGGUCUUAUUCUGAGUUGAUUUCUUCUCCUCCCUUGUCAAAACAAAAUCUAGUGCAAAUAUUCUUGGCCAAGAUGGGUGCUUGUCAAGGGACCCAGAUUCCUUUGACUAGCUCCCCUUAUUUUCUCAGCUGGCCCCAAAGGCUCAAAGCAUCUCUUUCAGCAAAC